rnacentral:rRNA from 1 species
GCUUACAGCCAUAUCGUGAACACGCCCGACCUCGUCUGGUCUGCUAAGCAGGGUCGGGCCUGGUUAGUGCCUGGAUGGAAGACCGCCUGGGAAGACCAGGUACUAUAUGCA